UGCUGUGAACUCGAAGAGUAGGGCGGGACACGUGGUAUCCUGUCUGAAUAUGGGGGGACCAUCCUCCAAGGCUAAAUACUCCUGACUGACCGAUAGUGAACCAGUACCGUGAGGGAAAGGCGAAAAGAACCCCGGCGAGGGGAGUGAAAAAGAACCUGAAACCGUGUACGUACAAGCAGUGGGAGCCUCUUUAUGGGGUGACUGCGUACCUUUUGUAUAAUGGGUCAGCGACUUAUAUUCUGUAGCAAGGUUAACCGUAUAGGGGAGCCGAAGGGAAACCGAGUCUUAACUGGGCGUUAAGUUGCAGGGUAUAGACCCGAAACCCGGUGAUCUAGCCAUGGGCAGGUUGAAGGUUGGGUAACACUAACUGGAGGACCGAACCGACUAAUGUUGAAAAAUUAGCGGAUGACCUGUGGCUGGGGGUGAAAGGCCAAUCAAACCGGGAGAUAGCUGGUUCUCCCCGAAAGCUAUUUAGGUAGCGCCUCGUGAACUCAUCUUCGGGGGUAGAGCACUGUUUCGGCUAGGGGGCCAUCCCGGCUUACCAACCCGAUGCAAACUACGAAUACCGAAGAAUGUUAUCACGGGAGACACACGGCGGGUGCUAACGUCCGUCGUGAAGAGGGAAACAACCCAGACCGCCAGCUAAGGUCCCAAAGUCAUGGUUAAGUGGGAAACGAUGUGGGAAGGCACAGACAGCCAGGAUGUUGGCUUAGAAGCAGCCAUCAUUUAAAGAAAGCGUAAUAGCUCACUGGUCGAGUCGGCCUGCGCGGAAGAUGUAACGGGGCUAAACCAUGCACCGAAGCUGCGGCAGCGACACUAUGUGUUGUUGGGUAGGGGAGCGUUCUGUAAGCCGUUGAAGGUGUGCUGUGAGGCAUGCUGGAGGUAUCAGAAGUGCGAAUGCUGACAUAAGUAACGAUAAAGCGGGUGAAAAGCCCGCUCGCCGGAAGACCAAGGGUUCCUGUCCAACGUUAAUCGGGGCAGGGUGAGUCGACCCCUAAGGCGAGGCCGAAAGGCGUAGUCGAUGGGAAACAGGUUAAUAUUCCUGUACUUGGUGUUACUGCGAAGGGGGGACGGAGAAGGCUAUGUCAGCCGGGCGACGGUUGUCCCGGUUUAAGCAUGUAGGCGGAGGUUCCAGGUAAAUCCGGUACCUUUUAACGCUGAGGUGUGAUGACGAGGCACUACGGUGCUGAAGUGAUAAAUGCCCUGCUUCCAGGAAAAGCCUCUAAGCAUCAGGUAACACGAAAUCGUACCCCAAACCGACACAGGUGGUCAGGUAGAGAAUACCAAGGCGCUUGAGAGAACUCGGGUGAAGGAACUAGGCAAAAUGGUGCCGUAACUUCGGGAGAAGGCACGCUGAUAUGUAGGUGAAGCCCCUGCGGGCGGAGCUGAAAUCAGUCGAAGAUACCAGCUGGCUGCAACUGUUUAUUAAAAACACAGCACUGUGCAAACACGAAAGUGGACGUAUACGGUGUGACGCCUGCCCGGUGCCGGAAGGUUAAUUGAUGGGGUUAGCGGCAACGCGAAGCUCUUGAUCGAAGCCCCGGUAAACGGCGGCCGUAACUAUAACGGUCCUAAGGUAGCGAAAUUCCUUGUCGGGUAAGUUCCGACCUGCACGAAUGGCGUAAUGAUGGCCAGGCUGUCUCCACCCGAGACUCAGUGAAAUUGAACUCGCUGUGAAGAUGCAGUGUACCCGCGGCAAGACGGAAAGACCCCGUGAACCUUUACUAUAGCUUGACACUGAACACUGGUCCUUGAUGUGUAGGAUAGGUGGGAGGCUUUGAAGCGUGGACGCCAGUCUGCGUGGAGCCAUCCUUGAAAUACCACCCUUUAAUGGCUGGUGUUCUAACGUAGACCCGUGAUCCGGGUUGCGGACAGUGUCUGGUGGGUAGUUUGACUGGGGCGGUCUCCUCCCAAAGAGUAACGGAGGAGCACGAAGGUUGGCUAAUCCUGGUCGGACAUCAGGAGGUUAGUGCAAUGGCAUAAGCCAGCUUGACUGCGAGCGUGACGGCGCGAGCAGGUGCGAAAGCAGGUCAUAGUGAUCCGGUGGUUCUGAAUGGAAGGGCCAUCGCUCAACGGAUAAAAGGUACUCCGGGGAUAACAGGCUGAUACCGCCCAAGAGUUCAUAUCGACGGCGGUGUUUGGCACCUCGAUGUCGGCUCAUCACAUCCUGGGGCUGAAGUAGGUCCCAAGGGUAUGGCUGUUCGCCAUUUAAAGUGGUACGCGAGCUGGGUUUAGAACGUCGUGAGACAGUUCGGUCCCUAUCUGCCGUGGGCGCUGGAGAAUUGAGGGGGGCUGCUCCUAGUACGAGAGGACCGGAGUGGACGCAUCACUGGUGUUCGGGUUGUCAUGCCAAUGGCACUGCCCGGUAGCUAAAUGCGGAAGAGAUAAGUGCUGAAAGCAUCUAAGCACGAAACUUGCCCCGAGAUGAGUUCUCCCUGAGACUUUAAGUCUCCUGAAGGAACGUUGAAGACGACGACGUUGAUAGGUCGGGUGUGUAAGCGCAGCGAUGCGUUGAGCUAACCGAUACUAAUGAACCGUGAGGCUUAACCUU
rnacentral:rRNA from 1 species